GGACGGGUGAGUAACGCGUGGGAACGUGCCCUCUUCUGCGGAAUAGCCACUGGAAACGGUGAGUAAUACCGCAUACGCCCUUUUGGGGAAAGAUUUAUCGGAGGAGGAUCGGCCCGCGUUGGAUUAGGUAGUUGGUGGGGUAAUGGCCUACCAAGCCGACGAUCCAUAGCUGGUUUUAGAGGAUGAUCAGCCACACUGGGACUGAGACACGGCCCAGACUCCUACGGGAGGCAGCAGUGGGGAAUCUUAGACAAUGGGCGCAAGCCUGAUCUAGCCAUGCCGCGUGAGUGACGAAGGCCCUAGGGUCGUAAAGCUCUUUCGCCUGUGAUGAUAAUGACAGUAGCAGGUAAAGAAACCCCGGCUAACUCCGUGCCAGCAGCCGCGGUAAUACGGAGGGGGUUAGCGUUGUUCGGAAUUACUGGGCGUAAAGCGCGCGUAGGCGGAUUGGAAAGUUGGGGGUGAAAUCCCGGGGCUCAACCCCGGAACUGCCUCCAAAACUUCCAGUCUGGAGUUCGAGAGAGGUGAGUGGAAUUCCGAGUGUAGAGGUGAAAUUCGUAGAUAUUCGGAGGAACACCAGUGGCGAAGGCGGCUCACUGGCUCGAUACUGACGCUGAGGUGCGAAAGUGUGGGGAGCAAACAGGAUUAGAUACCCUGGUAGUCCACACCGUAAACGAUGAAUGCCAGUCGUCGGCAAGCAUGCUUGUCGGUGACACACCUAACGGAUUAAGCAUUCCGCCUGGGGGAGUACGGCCGCAAGGUUAAAACUCAAGGAAUUGACGGGGGCCCGCACAAGCGGUGGAG
rnacentral:rRNA from 1 species